AACGCUUUUUAGGGCUGCACCCAUAGCAUGUAGAAGUUCCCAGACUAGGGGUCGAAUUAGCUGCAGCUGCCAGCCUAAACCGCAGCCACUGCAAUGCCAGAUCCAAGCCGCGUCUGCAGCCUACACUGCAGCUUGUGGCAACGCCAGAUCCUUAACCCACUGAGUGGGGCCAGGGAUCUAACCUGUGUCCUCAUGGAUACUAGUCCGGUUCCUCACUGCUGAGCCACAAAGCAGUGGGGCAUUGGUGUGCUGGCCAGGGCACCCAGUCCUCUCCCUGCCCUCAUGCUGCCUCCUGGGCUCCUCAGCCAGAGCUGUGGCAGGAGGGAGCUCUACCCCUUUGGCUCCACGUGGGUACUGGACCUUGAAGGGAGCUGGGGGUCAGGCGGAGUUCCCGGGACUGAAAUAAGAGCAGAGUAUUAGUACUGGGUGUAGAUGGUGAGCUCCAUGUACCUGAUGGCAGAGCGUCCUUCCUGAAUUGACUGAAGUGGCUUGGGGAGGGUUUGUGUUCAUUAUUGUGAUCAAUGGGCACUUUAUGCUUGCGGCCCUUGAGUGUCGCGUCAGUGGAAAUAGAAUUGCGGAACCACAGAGGGCUGCUUCAGCUUACACACUUGGCAGAGCUUCUCCUUGAACCGCUAAGAGUCUCUUCAGAAGAACUAUUUAAGCCAAAGCCCUCUUUACUAGAAUGAAGCAGUUUAACUGGAUUCCCAGAAAUUUUCAUUUUUCUGUGUGAGUGUGAAAUUUUUUUUUUUCUUUUCCACCUUUCGUAACUUGUUGAAAAUGUCAAGGUAGCUACAUAAUUCCAUUGAAAAUGUCAGUUACAAGUGAGGCAUUGAUGAACGAUCUCCCUAGUGACGCAGCCACCAAAAUAUUGGAGGAGAAAAGAGCGUCUGUUUAACCCUCCUUGCUGAAAGCUUGAUGCACACACACACGACUGAUACAGGGGUAUGGAAGAAAUUAUUUUGACAAUUCUGGCCACUUCUGCACAAAGCUUUUCAUUUAGAAUUGAUUGAACUGCAAGAGGCAGGUUGAAAUUAUUAAGUAAGCCGGAAAAGCUUUAAAGAUUUGGGGAAUGUUGAUGGUUUUAGAUGUGGGCAUUUUUCCUGUCCAGUUUUCAGUGAAUUAUAAUGAUUACAACUAUGUUUUUGUUACUUUUUGUAUGGGGCAUGGGAAGGGGUUCCAGAAGUGGCAAAGCAGACAGGGUGUGGCUCCGUCGGGCCUGCAGGAGAGCCAGCUUUGCUUGACCUCCCCAUCUCCGCAGCCAGUGGGCUUCUCCCUGCAGCAGGGCCAGGGUGCUGAACUGCCCGGUAAGGGGGUCCUGGGAUCUCAGGGAGGGCCACCCAGGGCAGGGGGAUGGGAGUGGUUGGCAUGUGGGGCUGGAAUACUAGAUGGGCGUUUGCACCAGUACCAGGCUUCUUUGUUGCGUUUGGAUUUCACUUGAGUGAAAACCGGGUCCUGGGCAGGCUGUUUUCCUCCCAUCAUGCUGUUGAGUCAAGAUAUUUUGUUAGUUUCCCAGAGCUGCUGUUGUCCAUCCCUACACACUGGCCACAAGACCUCAACCUGUGGGGAGAGCUGGCCUGGCUUGGCCUGGGUCAGGCCUGCUCCCUCAAAGCUCUGAGGAGGGGUCCUCUCUGCCUGCUUGGCCCAGGGGGCUUGUCUCCAGCGUCCACCCUCCCUGUUCCACCUGGCCUUUGUGUGGGGACACCAGGGCUCAGAUUUAGGGCUCCAGUGUGACUGCAUCUGAACAGUCACACCUGCCGAGACCCCGUUUCCUGGUGCGGCCACACUCCAGGCUCCAGGUGGACAUGGAUGUCGGACUGUUUAACUCAGUGCAAAUCCCCUGCCUUCUUCAUUCCAAAGACAUUUACUUCAUUUUAUGGACACCUUAUUUACAACUUAACAUUUUUAAUUUAGGGGCUGCAAAUGCCCGAUGAGAUGAUGAGUUUUCAGGACGAUCUUGACCGCUUUGUUGUUGCUGGACAGCCCCACCCCCCCGCCCCGGGACAAGGGGAAUCAGCUUCGACACACCCCUUGUCACCCAGAAGAGUGAGCGAGAGGGAUUGUCAUGAGGAAAAUAAAACUAUAUGAAGCAAGCCAAUCUAAACUUGAACUGGAAACUAUAGAGAAUUAGUUAUUAGUAGCCCUCAUAGUAUAAGACAUAUCAGAAAAGAACCCUUGUAUGCAAAAGAAACCUUGAGGCUUUAAGAGAGACUUAAUUUACCCUGGAGUAGAGAAGUGCUGUAAACUGAACUUAAAGGAUGGAUUCUGUUGAUAGAGUGACAUGUUUUAAUAGAAAAGAAAAUGUACCUGUGGACAUACUUUUUGUUAUUAACAUUUGUAUUUUCUAAAGACUAUUUUGGAAUAUGUGAAGAUAAAGAGUUCCUUUUAAAAUAGUAAGUGCAGGAGGUCCCCAUCGUGGCUCAGCAGAAACGAAUCUGACUAGUAUCCAUGAGGAUGCAGUUUUGAUCCCUGGCCUUGCUCAGUGGGUUAAGGUUCACGGCUACACUAUUGCAUGAGCUGUGGUGUAGGUCAUAGACAUGGCUCGGAUCCCACAUGGCUGUGGCUGUGGUGUAGGCCAGCAGCUACAGCUCUGAUUUGACCCCUCGCCUGGGAACCUCCAUAUGCUGCAGGUGCAGCCCU
rnacentral:lncRNA from 1 species